AAGCUCGAGCGCACCGAGCCAGCGGCCCCCUCUUCUCCCGCCGCGCGGGGCUGGAGGUGCAGGCGCCAGUUCCGCGGCGCGGCCCGGCUAUGUGUCGCUCCUCCGCGCGCCGCCCGCCGCCGCCCGUGCCCUCGGGCCGCCGCCGCCGCUGCCCCCCGUCGAGCCCGCGGCCGCACCCUCGGGCCGAUACUUGAGCCAGCAGAUGACCCAGGUGACAACGACAGAGAAGAGUGCCAGGAUGCUGGCCACCGACAGGCAGAUGGGCCCCACGGGCGAGGGCGAGGGCGACCCGGUGGCCGGUGCCUCGCCAGGGGGCGCCCCGCCUCCAGGGGGUCCCCCGCCGCCGUAGUGGUUGACGAAGAUGAGGCCGGUGAAGAGCAGCACCACCAUGGAGAGGAAGGAGAAGACCACGCACACGCAGCCGGCGGUGAGCGCCGCGCGCUUGCAGUUCUGGCAGCUGUCGUAGGCGCCCGGGGCGCGCAGGCCGGGGCGGGCGCGAGGCCCGGGGGCAGAGUCCUCGGCAGCCGGCGGUGGCGGCUGCGGUGGGGCUGGGGAGGGCGGCGGUGGCGGGGCCGGGGUGGGCGGCGGGGCAGCAGCGGGCGCGGGCCCGCGCGCGGGCAGCGGCGGGAGGCGGUCCUGGGGCAGUGGGUCGUGCGCUACGCGCAAAGCCAGCGGGAAGGCCUCCGCGAGCUUGGUGUUGUUGGGCAGGCCGUGCACGCGGCUGUCGGGCAGCGGCGUGCGGUGGCGGCACACCGGGCACGCGAUGGCGCCGGGCGGGCAGAGCCAGGGCGGCGGGCGCGGCGGGCGCUCAGGCGCAGAGGCAGCGGCGGCGGCGGUGGCGGCGCGGAGCUGCAGCUGGCUCAGGCACUCCUGGCAGAAGGUGUGCAAGCACGCCAGCAGCUUGGGCGCGCGCCGGUCCGCGUCGAAGUAGUUGUAGCAGAUUUUGCACUCGUAGUCCUCAAGCGGAGGGAGGCCGGAGACCGUCUCCGCUGCGUCCCUGGCUCCUGCGUCUCCGCAGUCCGGGGCUCCCUUUGCGGCGACCCCAGCUCCCUCCCGGCUUCCGGGGCUGCUGCUCGGGCUCUGCUGGCUGCCGCCGCUGUCGCUCGCCGGCGCUGCCAUGGCAUGAUCCGCCCCUCAUCGGGGGCAAGAUUCUCUGCAGAAGAGAGCAAGAUGCCCCCAGGGAAUGUUUGUGAAAAAGGAUGACUGGAUGGGAAGCAAGCUGAAGAAAAAGAAGGAAAGAAAGAGAGAAAUCAGUAAAUCACCACACAAGAGGUGGAGAGGAAGACUUAAAAAAAUUGUUUCUAUGACAUUUGAAAAUAAAUGUUUUACUCUGUGCUAAUAGUAAAUGUGACGUCUUCAGUUUGAAGGGCUUUAAGUGAAGCUCAUUAAAACCCACUAUUUUCCAUUUCCUAGUUUUUAAUUUUGUAAUUAUUACUUGGGGUAAUAACAUUCUUUCAAUUUUUUAAGCAUUUCACUUAGUGAUGGGGUGGUGAUC
rnacentral:lncRNA from 1 species